CUGAGUAUGCGCGAAAAAUUCCUCUUCGAAAAUUGUUUUGGUUGCUGGGAGAAUAAUGCUUUGACAUUUUAAGACAAGAACCGAGAGAUUUCAUUUAGUUAACCAUUUGAAUAUGAAGCGAGUAUUUACCCUGAAUGAGAAGACUCAUGGACCAGGGGGAAUAUUUUACCAAUGGCAGAGGUCUUUGGGGAAUUAUUUGGCCACUACAGGAUUUGAUCACAAUGUGAGGAUCUUUGACCGUCAUGGAGAACUUAGAGAAGAAAUAAACCUCCCUGGUUUGUGUACUGGGUUUGGCUGGGAUGUGGAUGGUGACGUCCUUGCUAUCAUUAAUGACAAGACGGGUGUUGUGUUCCUGUGGAACGCCAAUUCAGCGAGACUGUCACAGCUGGAUAGUGGACUCAGGGACAGUCUAACCUUCCUGCUGUGGUCAAAGACAGGUCAACAGCUGUCCAUAGGAACGGCCAAAGGAAACUUGAUGAUAUACAAUCAUCAGACAUCAAGAAAAAUCCCCAUCCUGGGCAAGCACACUAAGAAGAUCACGUGUGGGGCCUGGAGCAGUCAGAACCUGCUGGCCCUGGGCAGCCAGGACAACACGUUGACCAUCAGUAACGCUGAGGGGGACACCAUACGCCAGACCAACCUCCGCGCUGAGCCCAGUGACAUCCAGUUCUCUGAGAUGAAGGGGGAUGAAAGGAGUCAGAUGGGGGAUAACACGGUUAGCAUAGUAAUUGGCAGGAAGACUUUGUAUUUAUACAACAUCAAUGAUCCAGAGAAUCCCAUAGAGCUGGCAUUUCAGCAGAGAUAUGGAAGCAUUGUGGCCUAUAAAUGGUAUGGUGAUGGCUACAUCAUGAUUGGUUUCUCACAGGGUUUCUUUGUAGUUAUCUCCACACAUAUGAAGGAGAUUGGACAGGAGCUGUUCCAGGCUCGUAACCACAAAGACAACCUAACCUCCAUAGCCAUCACACUGUCCCUGAACAAAGCUGCUUCUUGUGGAGACAACAUUGUGAAGAUCCAUGAACUAUCGGACCUGAAGGAAACCUAUGCUAUUCUGAACCUGGACGAUGAGCGUCAACUGGGCCAAAUUAACUGGACAGAUGAUGGUCAGCUCCUGGCCGUGUCCACCAAGGCGGGCAGUCUCCAUGUUUACCUGACCAAGCUGCCCAUGGUGUUUGAUACAUAUAACACCAGGCUGGCUUACCUGACUUCUCUGCUGGAGGUGACAGUACAGGAUAAUGUGUCCGGGGAUGCCCCUAUAGUGCUGGCAGCUGAUGUGGAGCCAGCCUUCAUUGGCCUAGGACCCUAUCACCUGGCUGUGGGCAUGAAUAACAGGGCAUGGUUUUAUGCCUUGGAUUGUGAAGUUGGGGCUCCCCCUGAGAAGUUAAAGGACAGAGAAUACCUGGGCACUGUGCAGUCUCUGAAGAUGAAUGCAGACUAUGCUGCUGUCAGGUUUGAGGGAAAAGUGCAGUUACACAUGAUUGAGGGUGACCAGGGUGCAUCUGAUGACAGGGAGACCCGCCUCUUCCCAGACAAGGACCAGGCAGACACCAAGAUCACCUGUCACUGCCUCACCCCAGAAUUCCUCAUAUUUGGGACAGAUUCAGGGGGCCUCCACUACUUCUUCAUUGAGGACUGGCAGUAUGUGAAUGAGUACAGACACAUGGUGGGAAUCAGGAAGAUAUUUGUGGAUCCCACUGGAACUAGAAUCAUCUUCAUUGAUGAUAAGAGUGAUGGCUUUGUUUACAACCCUGUAAAUGACCAGGUGGUAGAAAUACCAGAUUUCUCACCAACAACCAAAGGCAUCUUGUGGGAAAAUUGGUUAAGUGACAAGGGAAUUUUUGUGGCCUUUGAUGAGGAGAAAUUAUACACAAAUGUCUACUGCAGAGAAACAGUCAAUGAGUCAGUGUGUGAGUUGGUAGGGGUCACUAAGCUGCCCUAUGGCCAGGUGCCUAUGUUGUUAUACAAUGGAGAGGUCACCCUGCAGACACAGAGUGGGAAGACAUCUAACUUGGUCCUAGACACUCACAGUUUUGAUGGCAGAAACCUACAGGAGAUGCCUCCUGCUGAUGUGAAGACAGCUCUAGACCAGUGUAUAAAGCUGAGGAGAUACAAGGAUGCCUGGGCUCUCAGUGCUCACCUGGACUCCAGAGAGUCUUGGCUGGACCUGGGCAGAGCUGCCCUCUAUAAUCUGGAGAUAGACUUUGCCAUGCGUGUGUACAGACAGAUAGGAGAUGUGGGGAUGGUGAUGUCACUGCAGGCUAUCAAGGACUCUGAGGACAGGAAUCUGUUGGCUGGCUACAUAGCUAUGUUCACUGAGGACUUUAACAGGGCUCAAGAUCUGUUUCUGGCCUCCAGUAAUCCUCAGGCCGCUCUAGAGAUGCGCCGAGACCUGCUGCACUGGGACUCUGCACUGCAGUUGGCCAAGGCGCUGGCCCCUGACCAGAUCCCGUUCAUCUCCAAGGAGUAUGCCCAGCAGCUGGAGUUCACUGGGGAUUACACUAACUCCCUGAUGCACUAUGAGAAGGGGAUCACCAAGGAGGAGGCGUACAGGGAACAUGACGAGAACUGUGCUGCCGGGGUGGCUAGGAUGUCCAUCAGACUUGGGGAUAUCAGGAGGGGUGUAGGUAUGGCUGUACAGAUGCCAGGAAGAGCACUGAAGAAGGAUUGUGCACAGAUAUUGGAAAACAUGAAGCAAUGGUCUGAGGCUGCUAUGCUGUAUGAGAAAGGUGGUUACUAUGACAAGGCUGCGGCUGUCUACAUUAGGUCCAAAAACUGGGCCAAGGUUGGUGAGCUGCUCCCCCAGGUGACCUCCCCUAAGAUCCAUGCCCAGUAUGCCAAGGCUAAGGAGGCAGAUGGCCGCUACAAGGAGGCAGCACAGGCGUAUGAGAAUGCCAAGGACUGGGACAGUGUCAUCAGGAUCAACUUGGAUCACCUCCAGAACCCAGAAGAUGCAGUGAGGAUAGUAAGGGAAACACAGUCAGUGGAGGGAGCCAAGAUGGUGGCUAAGUUUUUCUUGAAGCUGAAUGAUUAUGCGUCUGCCAUCCAGUUCCUAGUGAUGUCCAAGUGCAAUGAUGAGGCCUUCCAGCUGGCACAGCAACAUGAUCAGAUGGAAGUGUAUGCAGAGAUUAUAGGCUCUGAUGCCACUGCAGAGGACUACCAGAGUAUUGCCCUGUACUUUGAGAAUGAAAAGAACCACUUCCUGGCUGGGAAGUUUUUCUUCUUGUGUGCCCAAUAUGGAAGGGCUCUCAAACAUUUCCUGCGCUGUUCUAACAGUGAUGAUAGUAAGGCAAUAGGGAUGGCCAUAGAGACAGUGGGGCAGGCCAAUGAUGAUGCUCUCACCCAUCAGCUGUUUGAUUAUCUACUGGGAGAAACAGAUGGUGUGCCCAAGGCCAGCAAGUACCUGUUCCGCCUGUAUAUGGCACUGAAACAGUUCAGGGAGGCUGCCAGAACAGCCAUUAUCAUAGCCAGGGAGGAGCAGAAUGCUGGAAACUACCGAGAUGCCCAUGAUGUUCUGUUCAGCAUGUACCAGGAACUGAAGCAGCAGAAAAUCAAGAUCCCAUCAGAAAUGGCUCAUAACUUAAUGAUUCUUCACAGUUAUAUACUGGCAAAGGUUCAUGUUAAGAGAGGGGACCAUCUCAAAGGGGCUAGGAUGUUGAUACGUGUGGCCAAUAACAUCAGCAAAUUUCCCUCUCAUAUUGUUCAGAUCCUCACGUCCACUGUGAUAGAGUGCCACAAGGCAGGACUGAAGAAUUCCUGCUUCAGCUAUGCAGCCAUGCUGAUGAGACCAGAGUACAGGAACCAGAUAGAUGUGAAAUACAAGAAGAAAAUAGAACAGAUAGUGAGAAAACCUGAUAAAACAGAGGAAGACGAGCCCACGACCCCCUGUCCCCAGUGUGGGUACGCCCAGGCAGAGACAGAGCUGGUCUGCCCCAACUGCAAGAAUAACAUUCCAUACUGUAUCAUUACUGGACGCCACAUGACGAAGGACAAUGUGACAGCAUGCCCCAGGUGUGAUUUCCCUGCUCUCAAGGAUGAGUUUCUUAGUGUACUGGAGACAGAAGAGAACUGCCCCAUGUGUUCAGAGAUGGUGAAGAGCGAGGAACUGAAAGAUGUCAUGGACCUGAACAAAUACAUGAAUCCUGACGAGGGAGAGGACUGAUGGCACCAUAAGAGCACUUCUUUUUGAACACAAUAUCAGAGAUUUGAAAAAAAAAGGUUGCAAAGUCAUGAGACAAAAGGAGUGGAUCAUAGAUUAUGGUAGAAGAGAGGAUACCAUAUGUCUCUUCUCUCCUAUUAAAAUUAACUUUUUACAUAACCCUGUUUUGCAUCAGGUAUUAUUGUAUUUAGAAGGCUAGGUGUUGAAAGCUUUUUAGCAGGUGACCAGCGGGUGAAAAGCUUUAUAUGAUAUCAUAAAGUUGUGAAUUUUGCUGUGAGGAGGAUAUUCUGAGAAACGAGCUACAUGUUUUUUUUUAUUUGCAAAGAUGUUCGAUGCAUUAUCAAAUAAAGAAAUCCGUCCAUUUCAAUUAAUACUAAUGUUGUUUUUAAUUUGAAACUAUGUACAUUAUAUGUAUUGGAAGUCUCUAGUUGGAUAUUUUUUGUGAAUGUUAAGACGUGAUUGUGCACCAUCUUUACUGUAAAAAGACCGAGAGUUAUGGCAGAAGCAUGUGUGGUGACUGUUGAAAGCUUUCUGCUUUGAUAUAGCCUCUUCAUCUGACCAAGGCAAAGAUCUAUUUCACCAGACGUAAAGGUGAACGACCGUCUACCCGUAAUCCGCAAUCAGUAGGCAAAGGAGAAAUAUGUGGUAAUGAAACCUGUGUGGUGCGA
rnacentral:misc_RNA from 1 species